AAGGUCACGGAGAUCAUUACGUAAAAAAGAUAAAACUUUCAUGCACUGGUGUAGAGGUUGGGUGAGAACGACACGUGUUGCAACAUUAUCAAGUAGGUCUACAAUUGCCGCAAGGCUUGAGUUGAGAGGUAAGGGUGAGAAAAAGUCGUAUAAAAGGAGAGAGAAAAGGCCACAGAGUUCAGUCGAGUGAACGUCUACGACACGGCAACAACUGCAGCGCACCAGAUGACUUCUUCAUCUCAUUAUCAGUUCGCAAUCAUGGUUAACUAUGACGCCGUGCUGCAGUUGGGUGUUGCAUCGUUGAUGUCGACCACGAGAGAAAAUCAUACUGCAACAUACUCUGCUCCAUCUUAAAACACGGUCAACUGUGGGUCGUGCUGCUUCUCUUGGGUGUUUGUAUCGUUGAUGGCUGGGGCGACCACGGAGUACCGAUGUCUUUGAGUAUGGUGGAUACGAAACAGCAACGCCGCCGCCUUACUACACAACAAAGUCAAUAUACGCAACGUCUAGUUACUACACCGAGGCUCUCAAGUACUACACCGAGUUGUCUGCCCCAGCCUACUACACCGACGCUCUCAAGUACUACUCUUCAAGCUACUACAAAACUGAGGCUACUGUUUACUACACUAAGGCCACCGAGUAUUACGCUACAACCACAUGUUAACUAUGGCGUCGUUCUGCUGUUGAUUGUUGUAUCCUUGAUGAUUGGGUCGACAACGGGUGUACCGAUGUCUCGUGGGUAUGGCGGAUACCAACCCGCAAUGUCGCCGUCUUACUGCACGACAAAAAAAUACGCAACAACCGAAUACUACACCGCCAAUGCCCCAGAGUAGUACACAACAACUUAUGAUGUCCUGAACUACUACACCAAAGCCCCAAAAAAUAACUGCCCGAUUUACCACACGAAGGGAGCGGAGUACUACACCACGAAGGGAGCGGAGUACUACACCACGAUGGGAGCGGAGUACUACACCACAAACAACGCAACUUGCUACAUGGAGGUUCCUAAAUGCUAGAACCGAAAUUUCCAUUUGAUUUUAUUCAUAUUUGUCGGUUGUCUUCAUGUAAGACUUUUGGUAGUAACUUAAAGCCUGUCGUCAUUUUGACAGGUGUCUGUUGGUGUUGGACUUCUUCAAGGCCAGUAUCCUGCGCUGUGAUAUGUCUGUUUCAUAUUUUGGAGAUGACUAUUGCCUUAGUCGAUCUUCAUACGGACAUGUUCUUGUGUUUUGACGAUGUUACAAGGGUAGUUUACGAAAGAAACUUGUAACUGUUGAUUUUGAUAAGUCUUAUAAGUAAAAGGCAAGUGGAUGAACUUAUGACAAGUGAAGUAUAAAUGAAAGACUUUGAAGUUGAGAGAAAUAUAUUGAAACAAUUCCAAAA